rnacentral:pre_miRNA from 1 species
AAGGGAUUCUGGCUUGAAGGAACUUCUGGUGUGAUAUGUCGUUUUUGUAUCGUAUCACAGCCAGUAGUUACCUACGAUAUGGAAUCCCGA